rnacentral:rRNA from 1 species
AACAACAGGAUUGCUUAGUUAGCGGCGAGUGAAGCGGCAAUAGCUCAAAUUUGAAAUCUGCCAACAGGCCGAGUUGUAAUUUGAAGAAAGCAUUUUGGAUGUGUCUCUGCUCAAGUUCCUUGGAAUAGGACAUCAUGGAGGGUGAGAAUCCCGUGAUGCGGAGGUAGCAUAUCUGUGUAAAUUGUUUUCGACGAGUCGAGUUGUUUGGGAAUGCAGCUCAAAGUGGGUGGUAAAUUCCAUCUAAAGCUAAAUAUUGGCGAGAGACCGAUAGCGAACAAGUACUGUGAAGGAAAGAUGAAAAAGAACUUUGGAAAAGAGAGUGAAAAAGUACGUGAAAUUGUUGAAAUGGAAGGGCUUGAGAUUAGACAUGGUGUUUAGUGUUCCACUUUCUUUUUGGGAAUGUGUACUCGCUUUAUACUGGGCCAGCAUCAGUUUUGGGGAA